ensembl:snRNA LOC120094427 U1 spliceosomal RNA
GAAGAGCCCUAGCAAGGGAGAUACCCCAGGAGCAUGAAGGUGGUUUUCCCCAGGGCAAGGUUCCUUUAUUACACUGGGGAUGGGUUGACCCCUAUGAUUUCUCCAAAUGUUGGAAACUUGACUGUAUAGUCUUGUGGUAGUGGGGGACUGCAUUCAUGUUACCUCCUC